GAUGAACGCUGGCGGCGUGCCUAAUACAUGCAAGUAGAACGCUGAAGCUUGGUGCUUGCACCUAUCGGAUGAGUUGCGAACGGGUGAGUAACGCGUAGGUAACCUGCCUCUUAGCGGGGGAUAACUAUUGGAAACGAUAGCUAAUACCGCAUAAAAUUCGACAUCGCAUGAUGUUGACGUGAAAGGUGCAAUUGCAUCACUAAGAGAUGGACCUGCGUUGUAUUAGCUAGUUGGUGAGGUAACGGCUCACCAAGGCGACGAUACAUAGCCGACCUGAGAGGGUGGUCCGCCAAACUGGGACUGAGACACGGCCCAGACUCCUACGGGAGGCAGCAGUAGGGAAUCUUCGGGAAUGGGGGGAACCCUGAACGAGAAACGCCGCGGGAGUGAAGAAUGUUUUCGGAUCGUAAAGCUCUGUUGUAAGAGAAGAACGAGUGUGAGAGUGGAAAGUUCACACUGUGACGGUAACUUACCAGAAAGCGACGGCUAACUACGUG
rnacentral:rRNA from 1 species